CGUUGAAUCCGUUGGGGGGACAGUCUCAGGGCAGCCGUCCACCCUCCGGUUUCCCGGGCCACCGCCUCCCAGCGUUGCUCCCCGAGCUGCCCGCACGCAGGCACCACCCUGCCUGCCUCGGACACGCACUCCUGACCCAGAACCUCAAGAUGAGGAAGGGAGAGAGGCUGGGAAAGCAGCCGUGUGGGUUCAAAACCCAGCCUCGGGAGGCCCUGGUCUACCUGCCCUGAUGGGGAAAAUUCAAAGUCUGACCUCAGGGUACUGGAUUCCGGAGAGAACUUUGGAACCAAAGGCUUCUCCAUCUACCAACCGGGUGACCCUCAGGCACAUUCCUAGUCUUCUGUACCUGAGUUUCCCCUGUCAAAAAAAGCAUACUACUACUACCUACCUCCGGGUUUUUGCGGCAAUUUAACAUAAGUUAAUAAAAACAGAAUGUUUGGAAUCAUGCCCAACACAUUAGGUUUGGACAUUUCUUAUGUUGACAUUUACUUGGUGUAGUGGGGCAGGAUUCCAAAGAAGCCCACCCAGGACCACCUUGCAGACCCAGACCUAGACUUGGUACCAGCAGAAGCCCACUGUGCCCCAACAGCUCCUCAGUCUGCAUUGUUUUGCAUCAGGGUGAAGUUGGGCGAGUUUCCCUUGGAAUUCCAGAACUCCCUGUUUUAAGGUAAGAGGCCUGACAUUAUUUAAGCUCUUAAAAAAAAAAAGUUGAGGUGGAGCUAAAGGUUAAAGAUUGAGAGAAACCAAGCUAAAGGUA